GCCUGCCUUGGCCUCUCAAAAUGCUGGGAUUACAAGUGUGAGCCACUGGGUCUGGCCCUAUUUUUCUUUCUUAUAAUCAGACUUUACCUAUUUUCAGUUUCUAUCGACUUUUUGUUUUUGCCUUAAAGAAAUAUUAGCAACCUCCCCAGGGUUUAUAGUCGAGGAGGAGUGGGUGCCAUGGUGGUUCUACUGGAGACUACUUUGAGCAGUGUGGUUGUUGAUUUGUACACUGAGCAGCAGCCUUGCAACUGUGAACUUUUUGAGAGCAGGUACCACGGUUUAAGGACAUUUGUGAUGGCAGUGCCAAGCAUCUGGAAGGUACUCGCCUGCUUUAAUUUCUUGAGAUUGUACAAAAUAAAAUAUUACAAUUAUUGCCUUAUUCACAGUGUACAAAGGGAUUUUAUCAUACAAACUGUUGAUCCUAUAGGGACUGGUCAUGGAGGAGAGUCUAUUUUUGGCCAAUUGUAUGGUGAUCAAGCGAGCUUUUUUGAGACAGAAAACGUCCCAAGAGUUAAACACAAGAAGAAAGGCACAAUGUCCUUGGUGAAUAAUGGCAGUGAUCAACAGGGAUCUCAGUUUCUUAUCACUACAGGAGAAAAUCUAGAUUACCUUGAUGGUACCAUACAGUAUUUGGUGAGGUGACAGAAGGCAUUGACAUAAUUAAGAAAAUUAAUGAGACCUUUGUUGACAAGGACUUUGUACCAUAUCAGGAUAUCAGGAUAAAUUAUACAGUGAUUUUAGAUGAUCCGUUUUGAUGGCACUCCUCAUUUAUUAAUCCCUGAUCUAUCACCAGAACCUACAAGGGAACAAUUAAAGAGUGGUAGAAUUGAUGCAGAUGAAGAAAUUGAUCAUUUCAAAGGAAGGUCAGCUGAAGAAGUAGAAGAAAUAAAGGCAGAAAAAGAAGCUAAAACUCAGACUUUACUUUUAGAAUGGUAAGAGACCUACCUGAUGCAGAUAUUAAACCUCCAGAAAAAUCUGCUGUGUUUGUAAAUUGAAUCCAGUGACUACAGAUGAGGAUCUGGAUAUAAUACUCUCUAGAUUUGGGCCAAUAAGAAGUUGUGAAGUUAUCUGGGACUGGAAGACAGGAGAAACCCUCUGUUAUGCUUUUCUUUUUCUUUCUUUCUGUCUUGUCUUGUCUUUUUCUUUUCUUUUCUUUUUUCUUUCUUUUGAG